AGUGAACGCUGGCGGUAGGCCUAACACAUGCAAGUCGAACGGCAGCACAGUAAGAGCUUGCUCUUACGGGUGGCGAGUGGCGGACGGGUGAGGAAUACAUCGGAAUCUACUUUUUCGUGGGGGAUAACGUAGGGAAACUUACGCUAAUACCGCAUACGACCUACCGGUGAAAGCAGGGGAACUUCGGACCUUGCGCGAUUGAAUGAGCCGAUGUCGGAUUAGCUAGUUGGCGGGGUAAAGGCCCACCAAGGCGACGAUCCGUAGCUGGUCUGAGAGGAUGAUCAGCCACACUGGAACUGAGGCACGGUCCAGACUCCUACGGGAGGCAGCAGUGGGGAAUAUUGGACAAUGGGCGCAAGCCUGAUCCAGCCAUACCGCGUGGGUGAAGAAGGCCUUCGGGUUGUAAAGCCCUUUUGUUGGGAAAGAAAAGCAGCAGGUUAAUACCCCGCUGUUCUGACGGUACCCAAAGAAUAAGCACCGGCUAACUUCGUG
rnacentral:rRNA from 1 species